AACUUACAUCUACAAACGCCGGGGAAUUACGAGCUACGCUUAAAACCCAAAGGAUUUGACGGUGUCCCACCCCCCUAGAGGAGCCUGUUCUAUAAUCGAUAAUACCCGCUAUACCCAACCACCUCUCGCUAUUCAGUCUGUAUACCUCCGUCGAAAGCUUACCAUGUGAACGCCUACAGUAAGUACAAUGGCUACCAACGUCAACACGUCAGGUCAAGGUGCAGCUUAAGUGGUGGAAAGUAAUUGGCUACAAUUUCUAACCUAGAACAAACGGAAGGCUAUGUGAAACCAUAGUUCUGAAGGCGGAUUUAGUAGUAAAAAGAAAAUAGAGCGUUCUUUUUAACCCGGCUCUGGGACGCGUACACACCGCCCGUC
rnacentral:rRNA from 1 species